GAAAGCCUGUCUCAGUUCGGAUUGGAGUCUGCAACCCGACUCCAUGAAGCUGGAUUCGCUAGUAAUCGCGCAUCAGCCACGGCGCGGUGAAUACGUUCCCGGGCCUUGUACACACCGCCCGUCAAGCCAUGGAAGCCGGGGGUGCCUGAAGUGUGCUGCCGCGAGGAGCGCCCUAGGGUAAAACCGGUGACUGGGGCUAAGUCGUAACAAGGUAUC
rnacentral:rRNA from 1 species